rnacentral:RNase_P_RNA from 1 species
GGAGUCGGCCAGGCAGUCGCUGCCCGCCGUUGGCGGGUGGAGGAAAGUCCGGGCUCCGCAGGACAGGACGCCAGGUAACCCCUGGGCGGCGCGAGCCGACGGAAAGUGCCACAGAAAAUAUACCGCCCAAGCAGCCGCAGGCUGCCGGUAAGGGUGAAAUGGUGCGGUAAGAGCGCACCGCGCCGCUGGUAACAGCGGUGGCAGGGUAAACCCCGUCCGGAGCAAGACCGAAUAGGGAGGCCGGCGGCGUCAAGGCCGCGACGUGUGGUCCGCACGUGUCUCCGGGUAGGUCGCUUCAGGGGCGCGGCGACGCGCCUCGCAGAUGAAUGGCUGCCCCCGACAGAACCCGGCUUAUCGGCCGGCUCCCCAC